rnacentral:rRNA from 1 species
UGGGGAAUAUUGCACAAUGGGCGCAAGCCUGAUGCAGCCAUGCCGCGAGUAUGAAGAAGGCCUUCGGGUUGUAAAGUACUUUCAGCGAGGAGGAAGGCGUUGUGGUUAAUAACCGCAACGAUUGACGUUACUCGCAGAAGAAGCACCGGCUAACUCCGUGCCAGCAGCCGCGGUAAUACGGAGGGUGCAAGCGUUAAUCGGAAUUACUGGGCGUAAAGCGCACGCAGGCGGUCUGUCAAGUCGGAUGUGAAAUCCCCGGGCUCAACCUGGGAACUGCAUCCGAAACUGGCAGGCUAGAGUCUUGUAGAGGGGGGUAGAAUUCCAGGUGUAGCGGUGAAAUGCGUAGAGAUCUGGAGGAAUACCGGUGGCGAAGGCGGCCCCCUGGACAAAGACUGACGCUCAGGUGCGAAAGCGUGGGGAGCAAACA